rnacentral:rRNA from 1 species
GAUGAACGCUGGCGGCGUGCCUAAUACAUGCAAGUCGAGCGAACGGACGAUAAUCUUUCUUCUCUUAUUUUAUCGGCUGACGUGUGUUUAACACGUGUAUAACCUACCUAUUAUACUGUGAUAACUUCGUGAAACCGUAUCUAAUACCGGAUAAUAUUUUGAACCUCAUUUUUCUAAAGUGAAUUACGUUCUUGCUGUCACUUAUAGAUGUAUCCGCGCUGCAUUAGCUAGUUGGUAAGGUAACGGCUUACCAAGGCAACGAUGCAUAGCCGACCUGAGAGGGGGAUCGGGGACACUGGAAGGGAGAAAGGGACAAGAGUAGUACGGGAGGAAGCAGUAGGGAAUAUGCGGCAAUGGGCGAAAGGAUGACGGAGCAAGGCGGAGUGAGAGAUGAAGGUGGUAGGAGCGUAAAAAAGUGUUAUGAGGGAAGAAAAGAUGUGUAAGAAAAAGUGAAGAGAAUGACGGUAACGAAAAAGAAAGCAACGGCUAACUACGUG